GUGACCGGCCGGUGUGGCUGUGUGCUGUCUGUCACCCCAGCGCCCUGGACCUCAGUCUGCAGAGAAGCAGCUGUGACAAGCACAGAAAGGCAGGCACUGGUGCCUCCUGUCGAAGCCCCCAAUGCACCAGCAGCCCUCGUGUUAAUUUAAGAAGUUGACUGAACAAUCUGGCACAGUCGCUGGAAACUGAAGAAGGUGGGAAGAGGCUAAGCAAAACCCUUGCUUAAUUAAAAGCAUAUCUGCAAAAGGUCAGGCCUGGCAGGAGGAUGACAAAGGCAGUCAGAAUUUUAAAAUCAAGUCAUUCUCUCUUGCGAGAUUUCUUCCAGACCCUGAUGGAUUAGGGAUGCUGGGUUUUCUCUUCCAACAGAGCCUGCACAGCUGAGUCGGGGCUUUUGGGAGAUUGAUGACUGAUGACAAAAACAGGGCAGCACUCGGUGACUUUCUGCUGGUUCUUGAGAAUCCAAAUGAAAGUCCUACCCUGAACCUGCUCUGCAAAGGGGACCCACAUGAGGUCGCUUGGAAAGGGUCCUGACCCACCCACCAUGUCAAGCAAUUAUUUUUCUGGACAGCUUCCUGAUGUCCCCAAGGAGAGAGAGAGCGUGACAGCCAGUGAGGGAAAGCAUGCCACAGGUCCCGCCUGCUAACCUGGCAGGAGGGUGCUUGCAACACCUAAUUUAUCAACGCUUGUUUUCCCUGCUGGAGCCAAGUACACAAAAUCACUCCGCCAACAGAGAAAGAGAAAGGGGAAGCCAUUCUUCACCUUUUUCAGUAAUGUAUUUUUGUUUUGGUCAAUUUCCCAGAUAAAUUAUGGUCUUGUCUCAUUGCUGCAUUGGUGGAAUUCUUGCUAGUGUUAUUUAGUACAUUUUAAAGCUGUGUGAAACCAAAAGGUACUUAAAAAAAAAAAAAAAAGGAAAGUUAACCAAAUUGAAGGGUAAAUUUUUUACAUUGUUCCACUGGCUCCAGUUGGAGCUUAAUCAUCACGACCCUUCCUUCAGUCCACAGCGCCUGCUUCAAGAUGCAGCAGAAGUCAAAAUUGCAAGAGUCUGGAUGUUUUGCUUUCGUGUAACUCAUUAGGCAUUUCCCCCUGUGCUAUGAUAAAUGUCUCUCUCAACCAGAAAUUUUAUCUCACCUGUGUAUGUCCCUAUUUCACUCUGCGGAAUCACUCUCAGGAAAUACAAGCUAAUGAUGUCUGUGGUUCUGAAAUUUCCUUGUUAUUAUUUGUUUAAGACAUUUUUUAAAAAAACCUGUGGACAGCUUAUUAAAAGGAUGCUGAGCAAUGAAAACAUUAUUAGACCAUAUUAUUGUUUAUUGUACCCAGAUGUCGUGCAUUUUACACAUCCCAAAGGAUUAGUAGUAAUGUUGGAUACCAAAAUCUUACUUUUCCUUGCAGAUAUUGAGACUAAAUUUUUCUCAUUAAAAACAAAACAUUUACACUGAACAAAUGGUGCGUGUCCGGGUGAAGCAUCAGGUCUCAAGAAGGCAACACUGCUCAAACGAGACUUAGGACAGAACUGGAGACCAAAACAAAGCUGAGGCUACUGUUGGAAAUACUGGUCUAAAAAAAGGAAGAGUGUGGUAUGCUUGUUUUUUAGUUUUAUAGAAUUUUCCAUUUGGAAAGGAGAGAAAUGCAUACAUCCAAGCUGAAAUAAACCAUUCUAGCAAACAUGCCGAGGAAUAAUUUUCAAGAAUGUUUUGUUUUUAAUGAAAAGGAAAGCAAAUCAAAGAAAACCUGGGUAAGUGUUAAAGAGUACUAAAUUUAUAGUAAGGUUCAGGCAAUCUGCCCACUGCAAUCAGAAAGGUUUGGGCUGUUAGUCAUUUAAGACACACAAUGGGAAAAUAAACAAAGAAGGAGGAAGGGGGAAUGGUAAACUGUAGUUUGGCAGCAAAAUUAGUCCAGCUAGUUCCAUUACAUAUUAAACCAUGUCACAAAGCAAAUAAUUGAAAUAAUGAGGAGCUCAUUUUUUAAAAGAUAUAUAGAGUAGCAUAACAGAAUCAACAAAAAUAAGACUGUUUUAUAUAACAAUUCAAUAGACAAUAAAUAAGCACUCCAUUUGGGGAAAAGAAUCACACAAUAAAUGAUGCUGGGAUGGCUUGUGAGUAAUUUGGAGAAAACUGAUCUAGAAUGAGAGCGAGUAUUCCACAUUCGCCACUCUCUUGUCUUUUGGCUUUCUAUCACCUUGGCCAAUGGAGGAAGACAGCAAAAAACAGGAAGGAGGAAGAGUAUGAAGGGAGUCAUUUCUCCCCGGCACUCCAUGCCAGGUUGCUCCAGAAGGCUGUGUCUCUGUCCUAAGGGCUACAGCUUGGCUUGGGCAGUCUUUCCAUACAACUCUCCAGGUUCGGGAAAUUGCUUACUCAUCUGCCCCUGCAAGUGCAGGGAUGACAAUCACUUCCAGCUGAGCUGAGCCCAGCAUGCUGCAUCAUUCUUUGUUGAUGUCCCUCAACUCCGCUGGCGCUAUCUUGAUUAUCCUUAGGCUUACCUCAGUUCCCCAGUCCUAGUGGGCCUUCUGGUUCCUCCUGGGGCACUGACUGAUCCAGGUGCCCUGGGGUUCAGUCGCUAAGUUUCAGCUUCCUAUGUGAUGGGGUUUGGUUCUGUCCUUGUCUAAAUCUCAUGUUGAAUUGUAAUCCCCAGUGCUGGAGGUGGGGCCUGGUGAGAGGUGACUGGAUCAUGGGGUGGAUUUCUCACGAAUAGUUUAGUGCCGUUCCGUUGGUGCUAUCCUCAUGAUAGUGAGUGAGUUCUUGCAAAAUCUGGUCAUUUAAAAGUGCUCCUGCUUUUGCCAUGUGAUGUGUGACAUGCGUACUCCCGCUUCACCUUCCACCACGAUUGUAAGUUUCCUGAGGCUUCCCCAGAAACUGAGCAGAUGCCAGUAUCAUGCUUCCUGUACAGCCUGAGGAUCCAUGAGCCAAUUAAACCUCUUUUCUCUAUAAAUUAUCCAGUCUCAGGUAUUUUUUAUAGCAAUGCAAGAACAGCCUAAUACUGUGCAAUUUCAGAAUCCCAAGUUUCUCUAUUUACCCAAGACCGGGGGGUGCUCCCGCGGCCUGAUUCAUGCUCACAGACAUGCAAA
rnacentral:lncRNA from 1 species